rnacentral:lncRNA from 1 species
GAGGAUAUUCUUUCUUUCUUUGGUUAUAUACAUUGUUACCACAUCUGUCUCUUGAAAGUUGAAAACAACCUUUUUAUUUUUUAAUCGCAAUUAAUUUCUGCAUUAUUGAUCAAUAUAGCCCAUGCUACACGUCAAUCGGGUAAUAUUUAAUUUUCAUUUUUUCACUUGAUUUUUCAACUUCAGAUUGAAUAUCAACAGACAUGGGUUAUUAUUUUCUAUUAGUUAGUCAUUGUUAAUUGUUUUAAG